rnacentral:rRNA from 1 species
GACGAACGCUGGCGGCGUGCUUAACACAUGCAAGUCGAACGAAGAGCGAUGGAAGCUUGCUUCUAUCAAUCUUAGUGGCGAACGGGUGAGUAACGCGUAAUCAACCUGCCCUUCAGAGGGGGACAACAGUUGGAAACGACUGCUAAUACCGCAUACGAUCUAAUCUCGGCAUCGAGGAUGGAUGAAAGGUGGCCUCUACAUGUAAGCUAUCACUGAAGGAGGGGAUUGCGUCUGAUUAGCUAGUUGGAGGGGUAACGGCCCACCAAGGCGAUGAUCAGUAGCCGGUCUGAGAGGAUGAACGGCCACAUUGGGACUGAGACACGGCCCAGACUCCUACGGGAGGCAGCAGUGGGGAAUCUUCCGCAAUGGACGAAAGUCUGACGGAGCAACGCCGCGUGAGUGAUGACGGCCUUCGGGUUAUAAAGCUCUGUUAAUCGGGACGAAAGGCCUUCUUGCGAAUAGUGAGAAGGAUUGACGGUACCGGAAUAGAAAGCCACGGCUAACUACGUG